rnacentral:rRNA from 1 species
CAGCAGCCGCGGUAAUACGUAGGGUCCAAGCGUUAAUCGGAAUUACUGGGCGUAAAGCGUGCGCAGGGCGGUUGUGACAAGACCGAUGUGAAAUCCCCGAGCUUAAACUUGGGAAUUGCAUUGGUGACUGCACGGCUAGAGUGUGUCAGAGGGGGGUAGAAUUCCACGUGUAGCAGUGAAAUGCGUAGAGAUGUGGAGGAAUACCGAUGGCGAAGGCAGCCCCUGGGAUAACACUGACGCUCAUGCACGAAAGCGUGGGGAGCAAACAGGAUUAGAUACCCUGGUAGUCCACGCCCUAAACGAUGUCAACUAGUUGUUGGGGAUUCAUUUCC